GGGGAUGGAGCUCAGUGGUAGAGCACUUGCCUAGCAUGUGUGAGGCCCUGGUUUCAAUCUCCAGUAUUUUUU
rnacentral:tRNA from 1 species